GUGACGCCAUCGUGGAGGCUUUGAUAGCAAAUGGCUCCACAUUUGGAAAUAAGACAGUGUUCUCACAGGAGAAAUACAAGCUGAAGGAACAAAACAAAUAUGCGCCUAAAGUGCUUUUGCGGCGCCCCUCUACCCGAAGGUUUAUGUGAGUUGAUGCGCUCUCCCUCUUGUUGUCUAUGGCAAUUGUUGGUGCAUAUUCAGAUGUGCUUGCCGUUGAUAUGGUUGGGGGUUUAGUUGUUGGAGCUGUAUCUGAACACUUAGGAGGGAUUUGCGCGGUGGAGACAGCUAUCCAUUUGUGCGGUCAUUGGAUUAGUAAACAGAGAGGGGGGAGGGAGGGAGCAAUGGACAAGAAGGCAACAAAGAUGAAGAUGCUCUCGUCGGCAGCGGCUUUCGUGGA